UUGGAUUGUUUAACUAUCAGGGUCCAGCAACAAAAAACCCCGACGUUCGGGGUUUUUUGUUAUCUAAAGUUUUUCAGACGUUGCUUCUGGAUAUUUUGGAUAAUUGCUUGGGAUUUAUAAUGGGCUCUGAGCCCUUUUUUU
rnacentral:sRNA from 1 species